CUUUCGUCAAAUCCAGAUUGAAAUAUGACAGUUAAUGUCAUAUUUCAAUCUGGAUUGGUGUUACCUGCUUUCCAAUAAUGUAUCCACGACUAGAGAUUGCAAUCUGCGCUGGCAAUCUAUCUAUGGGAGGGUCAGAUCAGAAAACGGAUAGACCCUCCAUAUGAAAAUGACAGUUUUGUGGUUUCCUAUAUCCUAUCCGCCGAUUUUGACGUUUGCUUUGAUAGGUGUUGUCAUCCAAAUUUGCAAUCCUAAACAUUUCUAGGAUUUGUUACAAAAAAUAUCUAUUUUCUUCCAAAUGUGGAAGAAUAUUACUGUACUAUAGGACUUUUUGUGAAAGAUGACGUCGGCGAAUUGUUCUCACGCUCCAGGAGCAGUGAUAGCAGUGAUUUGGAGGACCUCAUGAUCAUCAAAUGAUCAUGUCGAGUUCGCGCUCGGAAUUUCUGUAGAACAUUUGGAGUUUGGGAACGAACUCUAUCUGCAGAAUUAUGAGAAUUAAAGAAGUUCCUUCAGAAAGGUGCCAGCUGGGGACAAUAUUGUGGAAAGGUGGCCUGAAGACAUUGCUCAAAGGACAGACCUGACAAAUAAUUAUUUUAGAAAGGUUUUGAUAAAUAAAACAUUUUUCCAUAUACUUAAA